rnacentral:lncRNA from 1 species
UUUUCAGUUGGUCCAAAUCAGGAUCUAAAAUUAUUAUAUUAAGUAUUGUGCAAUAGCAAGUCUUUUCAAUUGCACAGUAUUGCGCAAUGGCAAGAAAUAUCUAAUUGCACAAUAUUGUGAAAUAGAAAUUUUUUUUUUAAUUAGAGUUAUCUUUCUUUGUCCAGAAUAAUAAGCAAGAAAUAUCUAAUUGCAAAAUAUUGUGCAAUAG